rnacentral:rRNA from 1 species
GAAAUGAUAGCUAAUACCGGAUUAAAUAUAGAUUCGUUUCUAUAUUAAAAGGAGCCUUUAAAGCUUCGCUUAAAGAUGGGCCUGCGGCGUAUUAGCUAGUUGGUGAGGUAAUGGCUUACCAAGGCGACGAUGCGUAGCCGAACUGAGAGGUUGAUCGGCCACAUUGGGACUGAGACACGGCCCAAACUCCUACGGGAGACAGCAGUUAGGAAUAUUCGUCAAUGGGGGAAACCCUGAACGAGCAAUGCCGCGUGAACGAUGAAGGCCCUAUGGGUUGUAAAGUUCUGUUGCAUGGGACGAACGGCUAGGAUAGGAAAUGAUCUUAGUGUGACGGUACCAUGCCAGAAAGCUCCGGCUAACUACGUGCCAGCAGCCGCGGUAAUACGUAGGGAGCGAGCGUUAUCCGGAUUUAUUGGGCGUAAAGGGUGCGUAGGCGGUUUGUUAAGUAUGAGAUUAAAGCCUGAGGCUUAACCUCAGUUCGUUUCAUAAACUGGCAGACUUGAGUAUGGCAGAGGUAAACGGAAUUUCUAGUGUAGCGGUUAAAUGCGUAGAUAUUAGAAGGAACACCAGUGGCGAAGGCGGUUUACUGGGCCAUAACUGACGCUGAGGCACGAAAGCGUGGGGAGCAAAUAGGAUUAGAUACCCUAGUAGUCCACGCCGUAAACGAUGAGUACUAAGUGUUGGG